AGAAACCAAGUUAGCAUGGCAGGGAAACCGUGUCCCCCCUUGCAACUUUAGUGAUCUGUGGCCGGUGUGAGUAACCUCGUCUCCUGGCCUUCGUACUGUUGGUGAUUUUGAUUGAUGUUGCUGCUAAGCGGAGAUGCCUAAGAAAAAACGAGGUAGGGGAAAACAACAGAGACUAGAGUUGGCAAAUCACUUCCAAUUUUGCAGACCACUUCACCCGUACAGGGUCGGAGGCGGCAAACUUGACAAUCAAGACACCCCCUUCCUUGGAGCCGGAACAGAGUCCUGCCAACCGUGGCCGCGCUGAAGCCUGAAUUUCCAUUAUAUCUACAGCCUACCCGGGGCAUUUUCCUCGGAGCUUAGUGCUCCCGCUUGGGAGUUGGGACGAGGGUGGUAUAUUGCUGACCCUGAUGACGGAAACCGCCGUGCGGCACACAAUGGACUCGGAGGCACGAGCAGGAAAGAGAGCCGUAGAAGCCACAGCCUUGCGUCUCUCCUUUGAAGCGGUCGUAGGUUUUGUGUUGCCUUACAUGCGUGCCGCUGCUGGCAUGCAGCACCUGGUCAAAUGUCACGCACCGGCACCGGCAUGGGGGAAAAAAACAAUCCACAUGAUCUCCGAGCCGCACCAGCUCCCAGGGAGGUGACAUGAAGGCGCCAUUUCUCGGAGCCUGCCGGAACGAACGAGCCCGCCGGUCAGCUGGAACAGUGACGGACUGACGGAUGACCUGCAGUUCACUUUACUCUCGGGUGUGGUUUCUCUGAAGUCGGAACAGAAUGUUUCAUCUGUCAGGACAGGUCAGCUGACGGCCGGUGACGCCUGCAUGUGCCUAGCUGCGACCAACAGCUCCACGUCUCCGUCGCCGGGCGAAGCUGUGCAGCCCCAGCCCGAAUCGGAGAGUUGUGCAAGUCACGGUCUCCUUCAUUCCCUCUUGCUUGCUUGAAGCGGUCGUAGGUUAUUAGCGUUGCCUACAUGCUUGACCCAGCUGGAUUAUAUAUAAUCCGGAGUGGUUAGCGGUCAAAUCUCGUGCACGGGCACAGGGGAAAUGUCAUAUUGUCUGCCAAAUGACAAUGUACCAGUGUAUAGCAAAAAGAAACGAUUAAAAAAAAUGCUAAUGUAGUGGUUGCAGUCAUUGCUGUCCGUGACAUGUAUAGCUUGGUACCGUGCCGCCCUGGGACAGUGAAAACGUCGUUGCACUAGUUUAUCCAAGCAAGCUAGCUGACAAUGU